GGCUUCUUGGGCCGUGGAUUCGAGCACGGUAGACUUAAUCAAAGGGGAUUGCUUGGAAGAAACAGGGCAUUGCUAUCCCCAUUACAAACAGAAGAACUAAUGCAGACAGAGGUCACAUGUCUCAUCCACCCUGCCAUCAGAGAAAUGGAAAAUGGCAGGUUGAGACUCGAACCAGACUUCCGUGUGGUAACUUGAUGUUCCUAGAGCUGCACUUCUACACCAUGCAGAAACAACCUCUAAGUGCUCAGCCAGUGACUUCCUUCACGUGUCAUUCCAAAUGAAGAGAACAGAAUGACAGAGAACAUUCACAAAUCUCGAGGAGAAUUGUGCUUCCUUAUCAGACAUUGGUCAGC
rnacentral:lncRNA from 1 species